rnacentral:rRNA from 1 species
AUUGAACGCUGGCGGCAUGCCUUACACAUGCAAGUCGAACGGUAACGCGGGGCAACCUGGCGACGAGUGGCGAACGGGUGAGUAAUGUAUCGGAACGUGCCCAGUUGUGGGGGAUAACUGCUCGAAAGAGCAGCUAAUACCGCAUACGACCUGAGGGUGAAAGCGGGGGAUCGCAAGACCUCGCGCAAUUGGAGCGGCCGAUAUCAGAUUAGGUAGUUGGUGGGGUAAAGGCUCACCAAGCCAACGAUCUGUAGCUGGUCUGAGAGGACGACCAGCCACACGGGGACUGAGACACGGCCCAGACUCCUACGGGAGGCAGCAGUGGGGAAUUUUGGACAAUGGACGCAAGUCUGAUUCAGCCUUGCCGCGUGCGGGAAGAAGGCCUUCGGGUUGUAAACCGCUUUUGUCAGGGAAGAAACGCUCUGGGUUAAUACCUCGGGGUAAUGACGGUACCUGAAGAAUAAGCACCGGCUAACUACGUGCCAGCCGCCGCCGUAACAC